rnacentral:tRNA from 1 species
GGUUUUGUGGUGUAGUUGGUUAUCACACCAGUCUAACACACUGGUGGUCCCCGGUUCGAGCCCGGGCAAAAUCA